UCGCCCUCUGAUCUCACCGCAAUUCUGCGUGGUGGUAGUACCAGACUACCAGUCUCGAGCGGUUCUCUGCCCACACACGGCUCGCUCGAUGCGUAGCGGGACAGCCGCCGUGUGGUGGUUGCUCGUCGCCGUCGCCGUCCCCGCGCUCCUGGUCUCCUGCGCGGCCUCCGCACGUCCUCCUCCAGGUAUUUCUGAUCGACGCCCCUGGUUUUUCAUCUUUGCUGUAUAUGUGGUACACACGGUACAUCGGAACUGAUCGAUCGGUGUGAGGCUGCAUGCAGUGCUGCCGCGAGGUGGUGGCGACGCCGGGCUGGCUGGAGGGAGAGAGCUAGGGGCCAUGGGAGCUGCGAGGCGGUUGGGGCAGAGGACGCCGGUGAACAAGCCUCCCUCGCCCAACCCCCACGGCGCGUCGUCGAUGGCCGUGCCGCCGCCACCGUCGAUUACUAGCUAGGGCCAAGGUCAAAGGCGGAAGUAGCGAUGGUGCCUGUGAUCGCCUAGCUAGGCAGCUAGCCAGAGUAGAACAACUAGCAGUUGUGCACGAUACUUGUUUUGCUACUGAUAAAUUAUUAUGGAACUGUAUACACCAACCGAUGACUUUUUUUUUCUUUUUCUUCGCAAACACCAACCGAUGGCCAUUUACUACAAAAUGCAUCGGUGGCAGUUCACCAUUUGCAAUCCUAUUCAUGAGUGAUGACCGAUUAAGAACGUUGAUAAUAAACGAAAUGCAGACGAUAACGUUCAAGUCAGGCUAGAUAGAG
rnacentral:lncRNA from 1 species